CAGUCGCCACGGUAAUACGGAGGGAGCUAGCGUUGUUCGGAAUUACUGGGCGUAAAGCGCGCGUAGGCGGUUAUUCAGGUCAGAGGUGAAAGCCCGGGGCUCAACCCCGGAACUGCCUUUGAAACUAGAUAGCUAGAAUCUUGGAGAGGUCAGUGGAAUUCCGAGUGUAGAGGUGAAAUUCGUAGAUAUUCGGAAGAACACCAGUGGCGAAGGCGACUGACUGGACAAGUAUUGACGCUGAGGUGCGAAAGCGUGGGGAGCAAACAGGAUUAGAUACCCCCGUAGUCCCUGUCUCUUAUAC
rnacentral:rRNA from 1 species